rnacentral:misc_RNA from 1 species
GAAUACAAGCUGCCAGCCUGAUCUUUUAGGGUCCUCCAACUGGCCUUCAAGGCCAAACAGUUGCCCAAGCUCAUUGCGCAGCUCAGAAUAACUGUUGAAUUUGCUAAUAUCCAAUGAUCUUCCAAAGGACCCUGAUUUGUAAACCUUGACGAAUGUUCCAUUUUGUGGGUUCUCUUGGCCUAGAUUAUCAGGAGACUGCAUGAAUCCUGAUUCUUCUAAGCCACUCGAACUCGUAAAGGCUUGAUUCAACGGAAGCUCAGUCCCCAUGGUC